rnacentral:lncRNA from 1 species
GUUGGGGUUUGUUCAUGAUAAGAAAAAAUCAUGUGGCUCUACAGAAAACCAAAGAGCAUAAGACAACUUCAAAGCCAAAAGUGAUGAAUCAAAGUAAUAUUAUUGUUUUAAAGAUGAUUGUUUAAACCCUAAUGUUAUUGUUUUUGUGUUUAUGUUAGGCAUGGAAUUUGUGAGUAGAGGUGAAAGAGAUACCGGAAAAAGUGGAAGUAAAAGAGUUAAUGGUAGAGAUGAAGAUGAAUAUUUUUUUCCCUUCUGGGUUGUUAUGUAGAAGAUGAAGAUCAACAAGAAAAAAGAAGAGGAAGAAGAAGAAGAAAAGGAGAAAAAAUAAUUUAAUGUGGUUCAUCAUAAGAUAUAAUAGACUUGUAUGAUUUAACAGUCCCAUUUUUUAGAAAAAAAAUCAAGGGUUAAAAACUGACAUACAAUGUUGUCAGUUUAGAUAUCUAUGGUUAAAAACUGACGGAAGGGACCAUUUUGACAGACAGAGAUAGAGUUAAGGGACCAAAUCAAAACUUUUAUUAAAUAAGGGACCAAGAUGAAACUUGAAAAUUAAUUAGGGGAUCAAAUAUGUAAUUAAGCCUAUUAUAUCAGUCAUUUAGCAUAUAUAAUUUAAAUAUGUAAAC